AUGGGUUGGCACAAAGACAGUUUAAUAGAUAGAGCAAAAGCCAUGCACACAAGCAAAGCAAAACAAGGAAUUCUUUUCCUGCCUCCCAUCGGCAGGCAGGUGUUCAGCCAUCUCCAGGAAAGCUGGGCUCCAUCACACGUAAUGGUUACUUGGGAAGACAAACUCUGUAACUCUAAACAUCUCCCUUUCCCUCUUCUUCCCCCAGCUUUAUAUACUGAGCAUGACAUGGAAUGGUACGGAAUAUCCCUUUGGUCCAUUGGGGUCAGCUGUCCUGGCUGUGUCUCCUCCCAACUUUUUGUGCCCCUUCCCCAGCCUACCCGCUGGUGGGGCGGUGUGAGGAGCAGAAAAGGCCUUGAGAUCUUAGGGACAACUGAAAACAUUAGGGCACUUAUCAGCACCACUCUCAUCCCGAAUCCAAAACAUUGCCCCACACCAGCAGCUAGCAGGAAAGUUAACUCCAUCCCAGCUGAAACCAUGACACCUGGGCUCACUGCUACCACAUCUUGCCCCGUGCUGUCCCCACCACGUGCACUACUCUGCUGGGGUCCCUCCUCCAGCCUGGUUCACGCCUCCUUCUCUGUUCCCUUUCCCCCUCCAGUGGACCAGAGCAUGUUUGAGAACGCCAGCGCCAGUACGGCACCCACCCCACGGCCACAGCAUGUCCCCACCGUGGCGGGUGCCCCGCUGCAGUCCUCCCGUCCUGCCGGCAGCCAAAUGGUUACUUGGGAAGACAAACUCUGUAACUCUAAACAUCUCCCUUUCCCUCUUCUUCCCCCAGCUUUAUAUACUGAGCAUGACAUGGAAUGGUACGGAAUAUCCCUUUGGUCCAUUGGGGUCAGCUGUCCUGGCUGUGUCUCCUCCCAACUUUUUGUGCCCCUUCCCCAGCCUACCCGCUGGUGGGGCGGUGUGAGGAGCAGAAAAGGCCUUGAGAUCUUAGGGACAACUGAAAACAUUAGGGCACUUAUCAGCACCACUCUCAUCCCGAAUCCAAAACAUUGCCCCACACCAGCAGCUAGCAGGAAAGUUAACUCCAUCCCAGCUGAAACCAUGACACCUGGGCUCACUGCUACCCCGUCUUGCCCCGUGCUGUCCCCACCACAUGCACUGCUCUGCACAGCCCUGGCAUAG
rnacentral:lncRNA from 1 species